CUGGGAUAAAGUGCACUCCUGAGGCUGUUGCCUAGGCAAAGCUGGGGACAAAGACACCAGUAGGGACAUAAAGGCAGGCGCCACUUUGCCAGGAAGGGCUGGGAGCCACCGCUGUUCCCUGUGGGGCUGGAAGGUGUUUUCCUGUUUGGACAAAAGAAGAGAAACAACGAGGACGAGAAAGAUAUCUUUAUGGUGCCUGGAAACUGCAACCCGCAUGGCUGAGAAAGCAAGGCUUUGAUGAAGGCACAGUUCCUUCUUUUCUUGCUUUCUUCUCUCUGAAAAGGACAUGAAGCCCUCCUCAGAUGGCAGCAGUGCAAGAUAGGAGGGCAGCUU
rnacentral:lncRNA from 11 species